GGCGGAGUAGCUCAGCUGGUUAGAGCAUCGGAAUCAUAAUCCGAGUGCCGGGGGUUCGAGUCCCUCCUCCGCUA
rnacentral:tRNA from 1 species